rnacentral:rRNA from 1 species
CGGACGGGUGAGUAACGCGUGAGAAUCUGCCUUCAGGUCGGGGAUAACAGCUGGAAACGGCUGCUAAUACCGGAUGAGCCGAGAGGUAAAAGCAAAAGUGCCUGAAGAUGAGCUCGCGUCUGAUUAGCUAGUUGGUGGGGUAAGAGCCUACCAAGGCGACGAUCAGUAGCUGGUCUGAGAGGAUGAUCAGCCACACUGGGACUGAGACACGGCCCAGACUCCUACGGGAGGCAGCAGUGGGGAAUUUUCCGCAAUGGGCGCAAGCCUGACGGAGCAAUACCGCGUGAGGGAGGAAGGCCCUUGGGUUGUAAACCUCUUUUGUCAGGGAAGAAGGUCUGACGGUACCUGACGAAUCAGCAUCGGCUAACUCCGUGCCAGCAGCCGCGGUAAUACGGAGGAUGCAAGCGUUAUCCGGAUUUAUUGGGCGUAAAGGGUCCGCAGGUGGUUAUUCAAGUCUGCUGUCAAAGCGCGGAGCUUAACUCCGUACAGGCGGUGGAAACUGAGGAACUAGAGUCUGGUAGGGGUCGCGGGAAUUCCCAGUGUAGCGGUGAAAUGCGUAGAUAUUGGGAAGAACACCGGCGGCGAAAGCGCGCGACUGGACCGGAACUGACACUGAGGGACGAAAGCUAGGGGAGCGAAAGGGAUUAGAUACCCCUGUAGUC